rnacentral:rRNA from 1 species
UACGGGGGGGGCAAGCGUUGUUCGGAAUUACUGGGCGUAAAGGGCUCGUAGGCGGCCAACUAAGUCAGACGUGAAAUCCCUCGGCUUAACCGGGGAACUGCGUCUGAUACUGGAUGGCUUGAGGUUGGGAGAGGGAUGCGGAAUUCCAGGUGUAGCGGUGAAAUGUGUAGAGAUCCGGAGGAACACCAGUGGUGCAAACGGCGCCCUGGGUCCGAACUGACGCUGAAGCACGAAAGCGUGGGGAGCGAACGGG